AUUGAACGCUGGCGGCAGGCUUAACACAUGCAAGUCGAGCGAGCGGCGGACGGGUGAGUAAUGUCUGGGAAACUGCCUGAUGGAGGGGGAUAACUACUGGAAACGGUAGCUAAUACCGCAUACCAUCAGAUGUGCCCAGAUGGGAUUAGCUAGUGGGUGGGGUAAUGGCUCACCUAGGAGACGAUGCCGAGCUGGUCGGAGAGGGUGACCAGGCCCACUGGAGCGGAGACACGGCCCAGACGCCGAUGGGAGGCAGCAGUGGGGAAUAUGGCACAAUGGGGGGAAGCCUGAUGCAGCCAUGCCGCGUGUGUGAAGCAGGCCUUCGGGGUGUAAAGCACUGUCAGCGAGGAGGCGUUACUCGCAGAAGAAGCACCGGCUAACUCCGUGCCAGCAGCCGCGGUAAUAC
rnacentral:rRNA from 1 species